GUUUUUUGCAUUAAAACAAUUCUACGUCGUUUGGUGUCGGAAAACAUAAAUAGGACAUUUUGUUAAGUCCUGCUGAAACAUCUCGGUUACUUUCGUCGGGUGCGUUACGUCGCGUUACGCGAAUUUAUGUUGCUUUCGUCGGUGUGUUUACGUCAUGUUGCCAGCUGUCAUGUUGGUUAAGACAUGUUACUUACGUCGUUGUGAUGACUGAAGUGGCACUUAGGUCAAACGAAUACGUCUUGCAAAAAAGGCAGCUGUUUCCCAUGCAAAUAUAGUGCCACAGGCAAAUUUUAGCAACUGGAUUAGGAGCAGAAAUGUUGCGAAAUUGGCGUCGUCAUUGGAAAAGGAUGUGUGAUUAUGAUCAAGAAGAUUCACGGCGGCCGAGAUCCCUCAUCAACCUGGAGCUCACUGAAUCACAUCGAAUCAUUUCCGUUCCGAGCCGGACAGCAUACUACGUAAAUCGGAGGAAGUAUACAGCAGGAACGUCAUGUGCCUAAAGCUGCGCAUGUUGCGGUCAGAAAUAAAACAUCAAUGCGAGGUGACAACGCAGCCGUAGGAGUUGGUAUAAGCACGUAUAAGUACAUAGCUCGAGUCUAGGCACGAGUACCCGUAUGUGGAAAAUACGUGGGUAUUCAUCAAGACCACGGUGAAAGUGACGGGUCCAAUCUCUGCUAGUCUGGGAUGUUUUCGUAAUGGAAAUGGUUUUGACUUCUCGAACAAAACGAUACAAAAUAGGAAUAUAAAAAUUGACAAUGCAAGCUCUCAAUGUAAUAACUGUGUAAGUGCUCACAGAAAAAAAAAACUAUAUGUAGGUACAGUAAUGCCAGUUAGACAGAAAAUACAAGUAUUGAGUAUUAUAAUAAUGUAAAUAUUAUUCAAAUAAAUGUAGGUGAAUACGA